ensembl:lncRNA
AAGGGGCCCUUCGGGGAUUGACUGCUACUAGUUACACCUCUCGAUGUUCUGAUUAACGGUAAGAUGCUGAAGAUUUUCACAAAACUCAGUAGUACUCACUCAUCUUGGGAGCAGACAUUUGAGUGUUACAGUGAGUUUGAUACUUUCUCUAUGGUUUACAAUUUUCUAUCGGGCUGGCUUGAUCAACAACACAUUACAUUCACUAUAAAGAUACAUUCUUAAUGCAAAACUUCCAUUCAAUUCACAAUUCACUUUCACAAGAAUUGGCACCUUCGAGGGACUCAUCAGCAUCAGCAGUUUGUUCCAUAUGUCUUUUAAAAAAGCCAUGUAUUAUGGAGAAGUAUAUGCACCACAUCUGUGGACAAGCAAGCAACACUACAUUUUUCCUAGUUCAAAACGCUUCCCUGAAGGCACAACCAGGAAACUCCAUUGUUUCUUUGAGGGCAGUGUUCAGCUUCAUGUGCCAAAAUCAACGUGGCUUCCAGGCAGGCCAUUCUGAUCUCUCGUGAGCGAACAGCUGAGGCGGUCUAGCUUUGGUAUUUUACUGUGUACUGUAAAUGGCCUUCAUGUACUGAGGCACAUAUCCCGUGUGCUAAGCUGAAAAGAAUUGUCCCUGUUAUAUUAUCUGUACAUUAAAGGUAUGUUGACAUCAGUGAGGAUCAGAGCGAACCAAAGAUCGAGGCUUCGCCAUCAAAUGAGUUUGGGAACCAUGUCGAUGGUGACGAGAGGCACUGGAAGGGCCUGAGGACAAAGAAGAGCUAUGGCAGAAAUCCCAUCUGUUAAUGCGUUUGCUUUUUUUUUCCCCCUCUGAAAAGAAACUGUUUGGAAAGAGUAGUUUUCUUAAACCUGCCUUUGUGUUGCAAUAUACAAAUUGAACCUGCUAAAGCUACCACUGUAGUUAAGGAGUCAGUUUACCCAAAUAGUACAUAAUACUCGUAAUUAGAAGUUAUAAGCUACUCAAAAACUUUCAUUUGCCCAGAUUUGAAGAUAUACAGUACAUGAAUGGGAUUUUGGCCAGCACCCACCUAGUAUAAUUUCAGUGUCUGGUGUUUAAAAGAUUAAAAUGAUAUUUAAAAAGGGUCAAUUUGUAAAAGUUACAUUUCUUUUUUAGAAACUAACAUUUUCAAAUUCUGAAACAGAAAAGCGUUUGCUAGCUUCCUCUACAGCCUAAACUGACCCUGCAGUAUAAGACACUGUUUGACAUUUUGGGAAGUUUAUUUGCUUUCUUG